GAGAGGAAGGAGUGGAGGCUCUAGCUCCAUCCUACCCCAUCAGAGCUUCUGGGGCAAAACGACCACCCCCUGUCCUCCAGUCCCCUGAGGACCCGGGACCCACAGUACCGGGAGAAGCUUUGACGGAGCCUGCGGGUGGAUCUCCACUCCAGAUUUUCCAGCUGUCCCUGCCCCCCCACCGCUCGAGAGAGCAGGAUGCCGAGAUGGCUGGUGAUGCAGAAGGACAGUCCACGAACAUGCAGGGACCCGGGUGCCAGGGUCUGGAUUCUGGGACGGCUGCGGUGCCUUCCUUCUCCCCUGAGGACUGGAACAGGCAGGCUGACCCAUAUGCCCGUGGAGAAACGUCUAAAGGCCCAGCUGUCUUCUAUGGCCACUUUUGAUGAGAGAAAUGGUUGCGUCCAGAAUGGCACACGACGUAGGACCAAGUAUAUGUGUUUUGAAGGAAUACGAAACUUCUUUUCUUUUCUAUUGAUGCACAAACUUCGACGAACAGUGUUUUCAAAACACUUGUGCCUGAGUGUGCUCCUAGCGGCGGAGGAGAUGGUGGCUUCCCCCCAGGGGUCCGGAGCAGCGCCCACGGUGGCUUUGGCCAAGCACGGCGCUUCCUCCAAGUCUUCUGCUUUGUGCUACGUUCUACGUCUGAGUCUGAUGUUCAGCUGACUGGGCCUCCCAAGUGCCCCCAGAGUGACGACCACUCUGGGCACAUCAGGAGCACAGGGCCUCCACCAUGGCCGUCAUGGGCACGCCCGCCCUGGGCUUCGGGGCAGUGCUGUUCGGGUCCCCGCCUACCUCUCCGCACCACUUCUGUUCCUCUCCUCGGUGUCGGCAUCGUCUCAGCCGGCCCCUGGCCCCCCUCCCUCUGCACUUCCCCCAGCUGACCUCGCUCACACUUUGGGCUCCCACGUCCAUCAACAUGCAGCGACUCCCCAGACCAGACUCCCAGGUCAGACCCGACCUCGUGGCCUCCGACAUCUGUUGGACAUCUCAGAAGCACCUCAAAUGAGAAGCCCGAAGCUGAGCUCACCAUUUUCUACCCCACCCUGUUCGUCUUCUUCCUGUGUUUCUUAUCUUGGUCAACGGGACGAAAGCUGCCCGGACAACUCCUUCCUUUUUCUGUCAUUUCCAAUCCGUCACCAAAUCCUGCAUGUUUCAGCUCCUAUGUAUCUCUACAACCCGUCUUCUCCCCUGUCUCCACUGUCCCCACCACCGCCACCAGGGUCCCCACCAGAGCUCGGUGCCACAGGCGUGGAGACUCAUCCGCUCCCCUGUCUCUCCUGGCCCCUUCCACUCUGUCCUCUGACCCGCAGCCAGAGCGAUCUUCCUAAAAUGUAAAUGUUAUCAUCUAAUCAUGCAAUUAUUUGGCUUAAAACCCCAGUGGUUUCCCUUUGUUUUCUAGAAAAGGACCAAACCUGCUGCAGUCCCUGCCCUGCCCUGUGGGGUCAGCCCCCCCCCUCCAGCUCCCUGACUCCACUUCCUGCCACCUUCCUCCCACCUCCCUCUCCCCAGUGUGACCACCCUCGCCUCCUGUCCUGCGGUCUGGGAAGCUCCUUCCUGCCUUCUCUGCCUCGUGGUUCCCUACUGAUCGUUCAGACUCAACUCCAGAGUCACUGCCUGGAAGCCUUCCCACCUUCCGGAAAGAGGUCAGCCCCUCCCCCCACUCCCCCCACCACCCACAGAUGUGCUCUGCCCCAGGGAUAGUUCCUUUACUCAUAGCCACAAUUAACAAGUUUUUUUUUCAUUGUAUUUAUUUGAGAAAGAGAGAGAGAGAGAGGAUGGGACAGAAGGAGA